CGCGCAGGCGGAUUUGUAAGUCAGGUGUGAAAUCUCGAAGCUCAACUUCGAAACUGCGCCUGAAACUACAAGUCUAGAAUGUCGGAGGGGGCAGGGGAAUUUCACGUGUAGGGGUAAAAUCCGUAGAGAUGUGAAGGAACACCGGAGGCGAAGGCGCCUGCCUGGACGACUAUUGACGCUGAGGCGCGAAAGCGUGGGGAGCAAACA
rnacentral:rRNA from 1 species